UACCUUUCUCGGCCUUUUGGCUAAGAUCAAGUGUAGUAUCUGUUCUUAUCAGUUUAAUAUCUGAUAUGUGGACCAAUGGUCCACACGAUAUUAAAUUAAUUUUUUAAAGGGGAGGUUCCAAUACAGUGGCUUGCUACUGGGAAUCUCAAGUGUCGCUCAAGUCUUGUACUAUCGCUUGAGCUUGGCACACCCUACUAAUGAAGUUUUUAAUUUAAUAGUUUAUUGCUGGUUAGAAUCUUCCAUUUUGUAUUGUGUGCGCAAUUUGAAUAAUUUUUACCAACUAAGAUUUUUUAGUGGAGGAAUUAGAUCAACCUUAGUGACUAACUAAAUAUAAAAGAGAAAGACAAGCUUUGUAAUUGGUACCAAUAUAAAAGAGAGACAAACUGAAUAACUAAAUCACUGUUAAAAGUAGUUCUCAACUGUUAAUGUUACAUAAUUUUGGUAUUUAUUCGGGCAAAGGUUCUUGAGAGUCUCCCAAACGACACAAAUGGAGAUAUGCGUCAGUUCCUGCAAAGAACAAACCUAUGAAUUAAUCAAUAUAAAAAUCAGUUAAGUACAGGUGCAAGGUAUAACAUUUCAAAAGGAGUUCUAGAUUUGUUGAAAUACUUUCUUUAAUAUAAUUAUCUCCAUCACUAAAUUUAAGUAUUGUCUACAUUUUAUAUUUUUAAAAUAUUGAAUAAUUUUCAUAAAGUAUUUUCAAGGUAAGAAGAAACAUAAAGUGGUCAUACUUUAGCCUAGUAGAAUGUUGGAACUUGGAAAGAAGUUUAAAUGAAAAUCUAACGAGUAAUAGUUCGCUUACCAUAUCCUUCCAUAGAUAUUACUUGAAGAUCACCACCAAAAUACCUAGCAUACAAGCGGCAAAUAGGAAGUCCAUAACCAUUUCCAGCCAUUGUUGCAUUACCAGCUAUUCCAAGAUCAGAAGGUUCUUCAUUCGAUGAAUUUCGUGCUGUACUGUAAUGAUAUGUAAAAAUUUUUGGAAGACCACUUCUUGCUAUUCCACCUCCCUCAUCAGAGACCUAACAUGUCACUUGUUAAACACAAAGCACCUUGAUAAUUCAAGUAAAAAGCCCCCAAUAGAAAGAACAAAAAGCAUGUUGAUGAUGGAAACUUACCUUUAUGGUAACAUCCUCUAUUCCAUCAGCUAUUAUUAUUCUAAUUGGAGGAGCAACUUUGUCAGAAUCCAUAAAAAGCUCUUGCACAGCACGCAGUGAGUUCUUAACCAACUCAAAUACCAUAAGGUGCAAGUGAGCUGAAACAUACCUAUAGAAAAAAAGACAGAAUUCUAUAGAGAAAAAAGAAAGAUAACAGACCAUUUGAAGCACUAGCCAUAAGAAUGGUGUUAAGAAGAAAAAGGCAAAUGAAUUCACACAAGAAAAAGGACUGAUACUAACGGAAAAGUAAAUUCAGGAUCCCCAUAAAUGUUAACAUCUGGGGCACUGCCAUAUUCUCGAUAGCACAUGGCACGAGCAUCUUCACUAGCAUUCCUAGCCACAACCAUAGGAGACAGUUUUGUGUGUAUGUAACCAACACAAUUUUGAGGUGGGUCGGGGUUGUGCAACUCAACAUGCUGCCCUGAAUCCAUGAAAUGAAAAUGAGCUAUAAAUUGUGAAGCAGAUACAUAGAUUAGUCUCACAGAAGGUUAGAAAGUGUGUUGUUGGAACUAACCUAUGAGCAUUCUGAUUCCUAUUCUUGACAUGUAGAAGCGAUCAAGAAACUCAUCAAUCUCAUUAGGAUCCUCAUAAACAAUCUUCAAUUGCUGAACACCUAAGGCCAUUGUAGGAACCACGUUGUUGUGUCUCACCUUCACAGCCUUAAUCAUCUCUGUGAAUUCUUUCUCAUCAUCCAUAUCCUUUAUCUCAGGGAAAGACCUAAGGUCUCGGAAAGAAUCUAAGUACCAAUCUCUAACCUAAAAACAUAAACCAAUAAACCAUCUGCAAAACCAGAAAUUACUUCUAGAGAGAAACUGAAGAAUGGAAACACAUAAAGGCUUCAAAACAUCUCAAACCAUACAAUUUAGGUCUUUAACCGAAAGGUGAGGUAAAAGGUAGAACCUUCAAAACAGGAGCUGUCUGAGACAAGCCUUUAGGGAGAGCGUGAAGUUCAAUGGCUCUCUUUGCAAUCCUAAUGGGAAGCUCUUUGUGAAGGAACUGAGCAGAGAUUAGCAAAUUCUUUGGAGUUGGGUUGGAACCAAACUCCAUCAUGUACCUCAGACUCACCCCUGUCUGCUUCAAAGCACUCCAUUUCUUCACCUCUUUCAUCAAACUUUUGCACCAUGGCAACGUUUGCUUAGCCUUAAUCGACAUGCCUUGUUCCUCGACCCAACAACAACAUCUACCAGAGGAAACCGAGAGCUAGGAACUGACAUAGAUGAAACCAAUUACAGAAACAAGAGUGGAGAGAGAAGUUGAAAAGUGAAAGGACAAAAGGUGUCUGAAAAAAACAAGGGGUGAAUGAUCCAUUGAUGUCUAAUAAGGUUUCAGUUUUUGUGUGGCGUUUUGCCGCAGUUUUCUCUCCUUGGUCGAUUACAGAAUAUUCAGAGGUUCUGCUGUUGGCACGUGGCACACUCUCUCACCCUCAUUAACCAAAAUUACAUACAACAAACUGUUAUAUAAUCUAACAUUAUUAUGUUUCUUCAUCUAAUCUCUAGUUAAAUUUCACAUACAACAAACUAUGCCUUUUACAUUGAUCAAAAGAAUGUACCAUGACCUUUGUUUUUCCGUAACUGUCUUGAUAACAUCUAAAUAUGAAUAUUAAAAAACUGACUAUAUUGACUUUUGCCUUCACAUGAAGCUAUUCCAUAAAGUAUUGAUUAAAUAUGUUACUGGUCCUUAACUUUUAGUGAAAAUUGGAAUUAGUCUCUCUUCAAAGUUUUGGUCUAAUUUAGUCCCCCAACUUUAAAAAUGUAUGAAUUUAAUCAUUUUAACCAAAAUUUGAUAACUUUAAUUGAUGUUUCAAACGCGUUUUUCAGAUAACAUUGAAGAUGUGUCAGACAGUGUAAACAAUCAAAUGCUAUCAUGAAAUUUUAAAGUUAAGAGACUAAAUUAGACCAAAAUUUUGAAGAGAAACUAAUUCUAAUUUUAACUAAAAUGAAGGGAUCAAAAACAUAUUUAAUCCUUCCAUAAAUAUUCAUUUACCAAAGCAGAUGGGACAAACACAUGGCAAAACAUUAUUCAAUUUUUGUGUAUAAAUAAGAAGAAAAAAACUGUCUAUAAAAAUAUAAAUAAUUAGCUUCUAAAAUUCAAAGCGGGUCUUAACAUUAGUAUCAAUAGGAUGUUUCAAUUAAAAAAGAAAAAGAAAAAAUAAAUGUAUUUUUAUUAAAUCAACUUAACAAACAUUUAAAAUUUUAUAAAUUUGUGUUGACUUUGGUUCCACUGAUAAAUAUUUUUCUAGUGACUAAAAUUAAUUCCUCACAUCAUUUAGAGUUUAUUUUUAAUAUAAAAGCCAUUGUAAAAUCAGAUCAAAUCAAAUCAACGUUGUAAUUAUUCACAUCUAAAGGAAAAGUAUUCCAAAUAAUUUUUGUUUUUUCAUAUGCAAAAUGGUGGUCCGAGAUUUUAAACUUCAAAUUAAACAUGAACAAAGGUUGUUUUACUCAAAUUUAAAAUAAAAAUAGAUAUUUUCAUAAGAGUUGUGAGGUAUGAAUAAAAAUUUACUCUUUUUUUUUUAUGUGGUAAGUAAACCUGCACCUCUAUAAGUUUUAUUGUUUACAUCUUGCUUUCUUAAUUUUAGUAUUAUUUAAUGUGAAACUUAAAUUCAAAUUUUUUAAUUUUUAAAAAACUUAAAAUGCAUAGUAUUAAAAUAUAUCAUUUGGAUAUAAUUUAUUUUAUACUAAAAAAAGUUAUUGUCAAAUGUAAUUUUUUUUACCAACAUAUAUAAAUCCAUAAUCAAUAAGAUAUGAAAUAAUUUGGACCUUUUAAUUAGAUAUUAUAUAUUUUAAAAUUAUUUCAUUGAAUGAACAUUUUCAAUAAAAAUCAGUCUAAAAACAUAUAAAUAGUCUUCAUCUAUCAAAACCAAUUAUUAACAUUAAUCUCCACAAUUUUAAUUCAAGCUUAUUCAAAUUUCAAACUAAAUGACUCAAAUAGCAUACAUAUAAACACUUUUUUUCAAAAGACUAAUGUAUUGAAUAAACGGUGAAACUCUCCACAUGUUAUGCUUACUCUCAUAUCCCUCAAUGAUGUUUCAAUAGUUAGGACCAAAUGUCCAUAAUCAAGCUAUGACAGACCCACUAUGUUCCUAAGUAUGAUCAUUUUUCAUAUCAUAGCAUCUCUUAUAUAGAAUCUCCUUCAACUCAUACCAGCUAAGUUUCAAACUCUAUGUGAAUGAGAUACUAGUUGAGUCAAGAUAAUCUUAUUCCCAAUGUCUUUUUCAAUACACUUUGAUUCACCAUAUAUUAGUAUUUUCUCUUAGAAAUAUGUCACAUUAGUUUUUUAUGAAUUUAUUAACUUAUAAAACAUAACUCAAUACUAUCAUCAAAACAUCUCGUAGCAAAUAAGAAAUAAUUAAUUAAUAAAUUAGAAAAAAAAUCAUAUAACUACCACAUUCAUAAAAUUUUCUCUUAGUACGUCAUCAUUCACACUUAAACUUUUUUAUUAAGAAUUUCUACCAUAAUUCUAUAACUUUACAGUCCAAAUCAAAUUUCCUUUCAUUACAUUUCUCUAUUAUUCUCAAAUAUCACCAUUAAAUUACCAUCUAACAACUCCCAAUUAUCAAAAUGAGUUCUCAAUCUAAUAGCGUGUCUAGUACUACUCUCUUAUCUUAAAUUACGUCGCAUAAAAAAUUACUUUAUCUGCACAAUCAAAGGUAUAAUCAAUGAAAAAAAUUUAAUAUCAUAAAUCAAAAGAGUUUUAUUAAAAAAGAAAGAAAAUAACACGCACACAGAAAUAGCUUACAUACAAGAGAAACAUUUUGUUCUCAUAAAGACAAGACAAUAAUCGAAUUCACUUAAAAAGAGAAAUCGAUCAAGAACUUUAAUAGAGUACUACAAGUUGAUAUUUUUCAGUGUUAAAUCUUAAGAAGGAUGAAAAUUAAAUCACAAAUUUUAGAAAAAAAAAAAGAUUUUUUAAAAAUAAGUGGGAUUCUCACGUAAAUAUUUCAUAAUUUUUUUUGUGUGAUAUGAUUCUUAUAUUAAUAUUGAUAAAUUAGUUUUUUCUAUCUAACAUUUUCUUUAACUUAUGAAUCAAUUUAUUUUAUAAAAAAUUUGAUUAAUAAAUUAAAAAAAUAAAGAAAAACAAGUAAAUUGAUUAAUGAAUUAUAAAAUAAAGACAAAAAUAAUAAUUACAUCGUAUUUACUCAAAUGUAUAAGAUACUUAAAAACAAUAAAACUAUUAUAAGUAUAGAAUAGUUUUUAAGAAAAUUAAUUUAAAAAUACUCAAAUAAUUUACAUAGUAAUUAAAUCGAUCUUAAGUCGUACAAUUAAAAAAAAAAAAGUACACCACUAUUAAAAGCGAGAGGAAAAGAAAUUUAUGUUUGAAAAAAUAGAUAGAUGGAUGGAUGAUAAUGAUAAUGUUUGAAAUUAGAGUUAAAAGUGAAGUGAAAGGUGAGCCAAACACUGAGACCCACAAACAGCACAUUACACUUCAACUUUUCAACUCUUUAUUAUUUAAUUUCAUACUUAACAAAACAACCUUCUUAUUGCAUUUAAUUUCAAUAUUCAACCACCACUAUUUUUAUAUCAAAUUAAUUAUCCUAAAAUUUUCAUUAAAUUUAUCUAAAUUAGAUAAAGUAAAAGCUGCGUCAUAAAUGACAAAUUAUUUUGUCAUCUAAUUUUUAAUAAGACGCUGUUUUGGUGUAAGACUUAAUUUUAUUUAAAAGAAAAAAAAAUAAACAAAUGACGACAAAACUCUCCCUCGUUGUGCCAAGCUGUCAUCCAUUCUAUUUUUAGUUUUAUAGUUUAUAAUUUCGUUAUUUUCAUGGAUUAAAAACAGAGUUGAUUAAUAUCACCUUAAAUAACUAAUUGAUAAAUUAAAAAAUUAUAUAAAAGAAUAAAAUAUAAUCUGACAACGGUUCCUUUCCUAAUUCCAUCGUUUGUUCCAUCUCAUUGUACAGCACACAGAGGUCGAACUUCCUCGUUGUGUUUUGGUGUGUUCUGUUUCGUGUGUUGUUCUGCCUCUGCUCUCUCUUUCUCUUUCUCUCCUACUCUCUCUGUUCGUUCACUUUUCAAUUUCAUCCAAUCCAAACCUUCCACAUUCUCCUUCUGCAUUCUCUGCUCCUUUCUCAAUAAUUAUUAUGCUCCAUCGUCCUAAUCGUCUUCUCUCACCAACCGACUAGGGUUUGUCUCCCACGUUAGGUUUUUCGUUUUUUUUGCCGGGAUUUUGGGGGCAGACUUAAUCUCCGGCAGCUAUGGCCUCCAAUUUGCAGAUGAGUCCGGAGGUGGAGCAGAUCCACGGUGAAAUUCGCGACAACUUUCGUGCCCUUGCGUACGCCCUCCUUUAAUUCUCUCUUGCUAUCGUUAUGUGUAUCGCCCUACUCCUUGGGAUUGAGAAAUUAAUUUGAUUCAUGAUAAUAUUAGUGGUGGUAGAUGUUGUGAUUUGUGAUUUUAUGAUUGUUGCCAUUGGGGGAUUGAUUGAUUACCCUCUAAAAUGUGAUUUUCUGUGAUAUCAGACUUGGGGGUUAUUUGGCCCCUAGGUUUGGGGCUGUUGUAGCUUUUCUGUUCAGGUCAUUCGUUUCUUCUGGACUUUAACGGGCAGUGAGACUAUAGGGUGGAGUUGUUUGUUUUUGUUUACCACUACACAUGUUUUCUUCGGUCACGGUGGUUUAUUUUUCAUCUCUUGAACCUCUGAAUAUUACUGUGUUGGACUUGGAUGACUUAGAUUUCCCUCUCCCAUUCGAAUGAUGGGUUGAACCAGUUGUUGGUAGUGACUUUAUCUUUCCUUUGUUUGACUUUAUACAAGUGAUUUGUGGCUUGGUUUUACUUUUCUUUUGCUUUAGUCUCGUGAUAAUGUAUCCCUGGUUGGUGUUACGAUCAUAGUUGUUUUAAUGCCGGUUCACUGAAACGAAGGAACCGGGGAUUAAUGACUUUUGUGAAUAGAUCCCAUUGUUUAAGCAGUUGCGGAUGUGCUAUAAUGUGGAUGAUCUGUAAUUUGUUGCUUAGUUUAUCUAUUGUUGACAUGCUUCACCUUUUGCAUCCAGAAAUGGCUUCCAGAAGUUGGAUAAGAUUAAAGAUGCCAAUAGACAAACUAAUCAGCUUGAAGAACUCACGGAAAAGAUGAGGGAGUCCAAAAGGUUAGUCGUUAUGUAUUUUAUAUUUUUAAUCUUGUCAUCACUCACUAUGAACUUUAUCUCUCUGAACAAGAUAAUAAAACUUUGAAUGGGAGGCAAAUGCACGCUAUCCAAAAUAUCACCUUUUCUUCUCUCCAUAGGUUGGCAUGGUGGAAAAUUUGAUUAUUAUUGUUAAAUGUGAUAGCAAAAGCUCUGUAAUGGAAUUUACACCUUAUACCAAUUUCCCGGGAUUGGAUGAUACUAACAUGGAAAACAAACCUAUUCUAUAUUGAAUAUUUAUGGAAA
rnacentral:lncRNA from 1 species